CUAGGAUCCUGAUCAAGCAUUAUUGAGAAAGGGAAAGUGGCUAGGUAGGUCGAUGGCUAAGGUAAUCUCAGUCCUUGUUCUGGCAACGGUGGCGGUCCUUGCGACGACGACGAUGGUGUCCCCAGCCAUGGGGGCCUCAGGAACUGCAACUUUCUACACGCCUCCUUACACACCGUCGUCGGCGUGCUUCGGGAACGCGGCGGAGGGGACGAUGAUCGCAGCAGCGAGCGAGGCCUUCUGGGACACGGCGGCGCGGCGUGCGGCGACAGGUACGCGGUGAGGUGCACCGGCGCGACCAACCAGGGCGUGCCGCUCCAGCAGUCAUUAGCAGGUUCAUAUGGUCGCGUGUAAUAAGCAAAAUCUUAAAUUCGAUAGCCUACCUACAACCUACAAUUCUAGCAGUUUCUGUCAGCUUUUGGUAUAUGUUUGUGGUUUGUACUCCCACUGUUCAAGGUAUGGUUUGGUCA